rnacentral:rRNA from 1 species
AUUGGACGCUGGCGGCAUGCUUUACACAUGCAAGUCGAACGGCAGCGCGGGCUUCGGCCUGGCGGCGAGUGGCGAACGGGUGAGUAAUGCAUCGGAACGUGCCCAGUAGUGGGGGAUAGCCCGGCGAAAGCCGGAUUAAUACCGCAUACGACCUGAGGGUGAAAGCGGGGGACCGAAAGGCCUCGCGCUAUUGGAGCGGCCGAUGUCGGAUUAGCUAGUUGGUGGGGUAAAGGCUUACCAAGGCGACGAUCCGUAGCCGGUCUGAGAGGACGACCAGCCACACUGGGACUGAGACACGGCCCAGACUCCUACGGGAGGCAGCAGUGGGGAAUUUUGGACAAUGGGGGCAACCCUGAUCCAGCCAUGCCGCGUGCGAGAAGAAGGCCUUCGGGUUGUAAACCGCUUUUGUUCGGGAAGAAAUCCUCUGGGCUAAUACCCCGGGGGGAUGACGGUACCGGAAGAAUAAGCACCGGCUAACUACGUG